AGUGAACGCUGGCGGUAGGCCUAACACAUGCAAGUCGAACGGCAGCACAGGAGAGCUUGCUCUCUGGGUGGCGAGUGGCGGACGGGUGAGGAAUACAUCGGAAUCUACUCUGUCGUGGGGGAUAAAGUAGGGAAACUUACGCUAAUACCGCAUACGACCUACGGGUGAAAGAAGGGGAUCUUCGGACCUUGCGCGAUUGAAUGAGCCGAUGUCGGAUUAGCUAGUUGGCGGGGUAAAGGCCCACCAAGGCGACGAUCCGUAGCUGGUCUGAGAGGAUGAUCAGCCACACUGGAACUGAGACACGGUCCAGACUCCUACGGGAGGCAGCAGUGGGGAAUAUUGGACAAUGGGCGCAAGCCUGAUCCAGCCAUACCGCGUGGGUGAAGAAGGCCUUCGGGUUGUAAAGCCCUUUUGUUGGGAAAGAAAUCCAGCUGGCUAAUACCCGGUUGGGAUGACGGUACCCAAAGAAUAAGCACCGGCUAACUUCGUGCCAGCAGCCGCAGUAA
rnacentral:rRNA from 1 species